GGGGGCGUACUUGGCUUCGACGCGGGUACAAAACCGGAGGUGCAUGCCGAGGAGCAGAUUACCUCGUAAACACAGCUGCAACAAUAAUAGUUGCCAACGACGACAACUACGCUCUAGCAGCCUAAACCCUGCUAGCCUCUGACUGGGAUUGUGCUUGUGCAACCCUUUCCAGAGGUCGACUCUCACAAGAUCGCGAUGAAACAUGUUCAGGGUGGAUUCGUUAAAACUUAACUGGACUCGCUGCCGGUUUUCCCUGCCACUCGGGUAGCCUGCAGUUAAAUGAAUAGAGUUGGCUAAGCAUGUAGAGCCAAAGGCGGAAGACUUGCGGACGCCGGUUCGAUUCCGGCCGCCUCCACCA
rnacentral:tmRNA from 1 species